rnacentral:rRNA from 1 species
AGCGAACGCUGGCGGCAGGCUUAACACAUGCAAGUCGAGCGGGCAUCUUCGGAUGUCAGCGGCAGACGGGUGAGUAACACGUGGGAACGUACCCUUCGGUUCGGAACAACUCUGGGAAACUGGAGCUAAUACCGGAUACGCCCUUAUGGGGAAAGGUUUACUGCCGAAGGAUCGGCCCGCGUCUGAUUAGCUAGUUGGUGGGGUAACGGCCUACCAAGGCGACGAUCAGUAGCUGGUCUGAGAGGAUGAUCAGCCACACUGGGACUGAGACACGGCCCAGACUCCUACGGGAAGCAGCAGUGGGGAAUAUUGGACAAUGGGCGCAAGCCUGAUCCAGCCAUGCCGCGUGAGUGAUGAAGGCCUUAGGGUUGUAAAGCUCUUUUGUCCGGGACGUUAAUGACGGUACCGGAAGAAUAAGCCCCGGCUAACUUCGUG